GACGAACGCUGGCGGUAUGCUUAACACAUGCAAGUCGAACGAGACAAAAGAGAAGUGCUUGCACGGAUCUUUUAGAAAGUGGCGAACGGGUGAGUAACGCGUGGGUAACCUGCCCUAUGGAAAGGAAUAGCCUCGGGAAACUGGGAGUAAUGCCUUAUAAUACAUUGAAGUCGCAUGGCUUUGAUGUUAAACGCUCCGGUGCCAUAGGAUGGACCCGCGUCCCAUUAGCUAGUUGGUGAGAUAACAGCCCACCAAGGCGACGAUGGGUAACCGGUCUGAGAGGGCGAACGGUCACACUGGAACUGAGACACGGUCCAGACUCCUACGGGUGGCUG
rnacentral:rRNA from 1 species